GGAUUGCUCACGUUACUUCAGCCAAUCAGAGAACUGUGCAUGAGUGGAUUGCUUAUCAUGUAGCCCCCCUCCCUCACCAGGCCUUUCAAAAUACUUUGCUGAAACCUUCUGGGGAGUUGGGGGUUUGGGGGGCAAGAAAGAAAGUGAAGUCGCUCAGUGGUGUCCGACUCUUUGCGACCCCGUGGACUGUAGCCUACCAGGCUUCUCCAUCCAUAGGAUUCUCCAGGCAAGAAUACUGGAGUGGGUUACUGUUUCCUUCUCCAGAGGAUCUUCCUGACCCAAGGAUUGAACCCAGGUCUCCUGCAUUGGAGGCAGACACUUUAACCACUGAGCCACCAGGGAGCGACCCAUUUUCCUUGCAUGGCCUGCAGUAAGCCUUUCUCUGUUCCAAACACCAACAUUUCAGUACUGUUUGGCCUCACUGUGCCAUCAGGCACAAGGACUUGGCCUUUGGGAACAAGAGAAACAGAGGCCUGAGCCCCUUUCCAGAAGAUUUCCCAGCUGAGCUGAUUGGCUGUGGCAUUAGUCCAGGUAACCAAGUACCCUUUCCACGCAGAAGCAGCAGACCCAGAGUCAUAGCCAAGCACAAGCACAUACGUCUUUCACAGAGCACUGCGCUCUCUCAGGGCCGAGUCUCACCUUGGAGGUUGAUGAUGCUCCGAAGUCACGGGGAGCUGGAGCCCAUCUCCACCGACAGCCGUCUGGCUUUUGGAUUCCAGUCACAUUCUUCACCAGCCGAAGGGAGUGCUCAAGGCCCUUCUGUCCAUGGGAUUCUCCAGGCAAGACUACUGAAGUGGAUUGCCAUGUCCUCCUCCAGGGAUCUUCCUGACCCAGGGAUCGAACCCACACCUUUUAUGUCUCCUGCAUUGACAGGGCUGAGAGAGAGACCAACUCAGGAAAAACCCCUCCCACUUCACCCCUCCGCGUGGAGUCGGGGGCAGGUGCUGAGUUCAAGACUCCUUGGUGAGGGCUCAGUGGAUGCAGAGCCGCUGCUGAGAUAUGUCGUCAGAGUGUGUGGGAAAUCCUUUCGGAAUUCAAGAGAAAGGAUCCACAACGAGGUGCGGCACUUCAAGACUCACUGUGAAGCCCGCUAAGAGGCCACUGGGGGCUGGGCAGGAGUCCCGCACCGGACACGCCACGUGCACUGCCCCUUGUUUUAUUUUUCUGCCAAGAAAAUGCACUAGGUAUGAAC
ensembl:lncRNA